rnacentral:rRNA from 1 species
GCGCAGCAGGCGAGAAUACUUUACAAUGUGCGAAAGCACGAUAAGGGAACUCUGAGUGCCUCCUAAGGAGGCUGUUCAGGUGUUUAAAAGCACCUGGAGUAAGGGCUGGGUAAGACCGGUGCCAGCCGCCGCGGUAACACCGGCAGCCCAGGUGGUAGCCACUUUUAUUGGGUCUAAAGCGUCCGUAGCCGGUUGAGUAAGUUCCUUGGGAAAUUUGGCUGCUCAACAGUCAAGCUUCCAGGGAAUACUGCUCGACUUGGGACCGGGAGAGGUCAGAGGUACUCCAGGGGUAGGGGUGAAAUCCAUUAAUCCCUGGGGGACCACCGGUAGCGAAGGCGUCUGACCAGACCAGGUCCGACGGUGAGGGACGAAGGCUAGGGUCGCGAACCGGAUUAGAUA